GGGUCACAUGCCCCAUUAGUGACAGAACUGUAAUUCAGAUCCCCUGAGUUUCAUGUUGCCACUCUUUACAAGUAUAUUUUUUCUUUUGGAAUUCAUUAAUCAAGAAAUACUCAUGUAGGCUGGGCACAGUGGCUCAUGCCUGUAAUCCCAGCACUUUGGGAGUAUGAGCAUUAUGAUCCUGGACUUGUUGUGGUGAUGGUAAUCUUAGCAGUGGGAGAACAGAUCCCAUUCCAAUCGUUGUCAAGUAUGAUGUCAUGGGCAUGGGUCGCAUGGAAAUGGAGCUUGAUUAUGCUGAAGAUGCUACCGAACGGCGCCGUGUCCUAGAAGUAGAAAAAGAAGACACAGAAGAGCUGAGACAAAAGUACAAGGAUUAUGUUGACAAAGAGAAGGCAAUUGCCAAAGCCUUGGAAGACCUCAGAGCCAACUUUUAUUGUGAACUGUGUGAUAAGCAAUAUCAGAAACAUCAGGAAUUUGAUAACCAUAU
rnacentral:sRNA from 1 species